AAAUUAGCUACUCAGAUAAUUCAGAUUAGUUUAAUUCUUUAGUUAACAGUUACUGUUCUGACUUCAUGUUUAUGGUCCUGUCUGCCUCUGUGAUCAACUUACAAACAGGAAAAAAGAACAACUUUAUCAAGGGUGGCCUAAUUUUGCUGCACCAUUUGAUGGCAAAGGAGACCAAGUGACCUGAACAAAGUCCCAACUCACUCCUUGCUAUACAAAUCAAGGAAAGGAAGACUGUGGACCACCCCAGAAGAUUUGACCCACCCCCCAAGAAAGAUUCUCUAACACUGAGGUUUCCCCAGACCUAUGACUGUACAGGACUCUUCAUGAUCCAGGAGUCUUCAGGCUUGAUAUCAGUGUAUUUAAUUAUAAUUGCAACACUAACCUUACCCGUAUCCACAAGUUAAUGACCAUAUCCUUCCCAUAAGUAAAAAUUAGCCACAAGGCAACAAUGGGCUUAGUUGUCAAUCUGCUAUUCUACAAAACCUGUAGAAUUGAACUGUUCAGCACUGGCCGUCCUAUAAUCAAACAGCAGUUAGAAGUAAGUUUUUUGAUCCAUGUUGUUGCAGACUAGAUAACACAUUUGUCCUUACUGAUGCCACCUCUAAUCUAAUACUCUGGCCUAACCACGGCCAUGUUGAAUGAGCGCUUCAAGUAUUUUAACUCCUAAACAUUAACUUUUACCGUAGUCUUAUCCAUAGCCCAACACCGGCACAUACCCAAAAGGCUACCAAGAAGCCCUUCAUCUCCACCAGCACUCAAUCUUAAUGAACUUGUAAGACGCCAACAAUAACUCAAGUUCUCCAGCACCUGCUGUCCAAAACACUAAUGCCCAAACACCACACUUUCAGGACUUUCUAGAUUCAGCAAUAACA